GUGCUUAACACAUGCAAGUCGCACGAGAACACCUCAGCUUGCUGGGGUAAGUAAAGUGGCGCACGGGUGAGUAACGCGUGGGUAAUCUGCCCCUGAAUCUGGGAUAACGCUGCGAAAGCGGUGCUAAUACCGGAUGACAUCGAAUUGACUUCGGUUGAUUGGAUCAAAGGUAGCCACUCCAUGGAAGCUACUGUUUGGGGAUGAGCCCGCGUACCAUUAGCUUGUUGGUAGGGUAACGGCCUACCAAGGCGACGAUGGUUAGCUGGUCUGAGAGGAUGAUCAGCCACACUGGAACUGGAACACGGUCCAGACUCCUACGGGAGGCAGCAGUGAGGAAUUUUGCGCAAUGAGGGAAACCUUGACGCAGCAACGCCGCGUGAGUGAUGAAGGCUUUCGGGUCGUAAAGCUCUGUCAAGUGGGAAGAAAUCCCGGGAAGUGAACAGUUUUUCGGGUUGACGGUACCACUGAAGGAAGCACCGGCUAACUCCGUGCCAGCAGCCGCGGUAAUACGGAGGGUGCGAGCGUUAUUCGGAAUUACUGGGCGUAAAGGGCGCGCAGGCGGUCAUGUAAGUCAGAUGUGAAAGCCCGGGGCUUAACCCUGGAAGUGCAUUUGAAACUGUGUGACUUGAGUAUGGGAGAGGGAAGCGGAAUUCCUGGUGUAGCGGUGAAAUGCGUAGAUAUCAGGAGGAACACCCCUGCCGAACGCCGGCGUCGGGGACCCGAGACUGACCCUGAGGCGGCGAAAGCCGUGGCGAGCAAACAGGACUAGAUACCCUGGUAGUGCACGCAGUACACGGUGAUCACUAGAUGUAAGCGGGUAGUGAACCGACCCUGUCCCGAAGCUAACGCAACUAAGUGAUCCGCCCUGCGGAGUACAGGCCGCAACGGUUAAGACUCAAAGGAAUUGAACGGGGGCCCGGCACAACACGAUGGAGCAUGCGAUUUGAAUUCGACGCGACGCAGAAGAACCGUACCUGCGAUGGGACAUGCACGGGAAUCGUUACUGAAAAUAAGAGAGUGGCCUUCGGGGAGCCCGGAGACAGGACCUGCAUGGCAGUCGUCAGCUCGUGUCGUGAGAUGAUGGGUUAAGUCACGCAACGAGCGCAACCCCUAUCUUCAGUUAACAGCAUAGCGGAUGGGACGUCUGGAGAUAAUACCCCGGCUCACGGGGAGGAAAGUAAGGAUGACAUCAAGUCAAUCACGGCAUGGACGUCAAGGCGCAACACACGAGCUGCGAUCUUAGGGACAAACAACGGCGAACUUAUGAGGAUGAGCUAAUCCCAAAAAGCCGGCCCAAGUUCGGAUUGGAGUCUGCAACUCGACUUCAUGAAGUUGGAAUCGCUAGUAAUCGCGGAUCAGCAUGCCGCGGUGAAUACGUUCCCGGGCCUUGUACACACCGCCCGUCACACCAUGAGAGUUGGUUGUACCAGAAGUUGUCGGCC
rnacentral:rRNA from 1 species